GCACGAGAUGCGGAACUGGUAUACGCACCCGGCAACCGUCGGGAGCAGAAAUGCAUGUGGGUUCGAAUCCCACCUCGUGUA
rnacentral:tRNA from 1 species